UGGGGAAUAUUGCACAAUGGGCGAAAGCCUGAUGCAGCAACGCCGCGUGAGGGACGACGGCCUUCGGGUUGUAAACCUCUUUUAGCAAGGAAGAAGCGAAAGUGACGGUACUUGCAGAAAAAGCGCCGGCUAACUACGUGCCAGCAGCCGCGGUAAUACGUAGGGCGCAAGCGUUAUCCGGAAUUACUGGGCGUAAAGAGCUCGUAGGCGGUUUGUCGCGUCUGCUGUGAAAACCCGAGGCUCAACCUCGGGCCUGCAGUGGGUACGGGCAGACUAGAGUGCGGUAGGGGAGAUUGGAACUCCGUGGUGAUAGCGGUGGAAUGCGCAGAUAUCAGGAAGAACACCGAUGGCGAAGGCAGAUCUCUGGGCCGUAACUGACGCUGAGGAGCGAAAGGGUGGGGAGCAAACAGGCUUAGAUACCCUGGUAGUCCACCCGUAAACGUUGGGAACUAGUUGUGGGGUCCAUUCCACGGACUCCGUGACGCAGCUAACGCAUUAAGUUCCCCGCCUGGGGAGUACGGCCGCAAGGCUAAAACUCAAAUGAAUUGACGGGGUCAUAGCUGUUUCCU
rnacentral:rRNA from 1 species